rnacentral:rRNA from 1 species
CCUACGGGUGGCAGCAGUGGGGAAUAUUGGACAAUGGGGGGAACCCUGAUCCAGCCAUGCCGCGUGUGUGAAGAAGGCCCGCGGGUUGUAAAGCACUUUCAGUGAGGAAGAACGCCUGGUGGUUAAUACCCAUCAGGAAAGACAUCACUCACAGAAGAAGCACCGGCUAACUCCGUGCCAGCAGCCGCGGUAAUACGGAGGGUGCGAGCGUUAAUCGGAAUUACUGGGCGUAAAGCGCGCGUAGGUGGCUUGAUAAGCCGGUUGUGAAAGCCCCGGGCUCAACCUGGGAACGGCAUCCGGAACUGUCAAGCUAGAGUGCAGGAGAGGAAGGUAGAAUUCCCGGUGUAGCGGUGAAAUGCGUAGAGAUCGGGAGGAAUACCAGUGGCGAAGGCGGCCUUCUGGACUGACACUGACACUGAGGUGCGAAAGCGUGGGUAGCAAACAGGAUUAGAUACCCGUGUAGUC